rnacentral:rRNA from 1 species
GGCCAUGCAUGUCUAAGUUCACACUGUCCCACGGUGAAACCGCGAAUGGCUCAUUAAAUCAGUCGAGGUUCCUUAGAUGACACGAUCCUACUUGGAUAACUGUGGCAAUUCUAGAGCUAAUACAUGCUUACCAAGCUCCGACCCUCGUGGAAAGAGCGCUUUUAUUAGUUCAAAACCAAUCGUCGUUACCCUUCGCGGGGUGGCGGCGUCCCCACUGGUGACUCUGGAUAACUUUGUGCUGAUCGCAUGGCCUCACGUGCCGGCGACGCAUCUUUCAAAUGUCUGCCCUAUCAAAUGUCGAUGGUACGUGACAUGCCUACCAUGUUUGUAACGGGUAACGGGGAAUCAGGGUUCGA